rnacentral:rRNA from 1 species
UACAGAGGGGGCAAGCGUUGUUCGGAAUUACUGGGCGUAAAGCGCGCGUAGGCGGACCUGCAAGUCGGGGGUGAAAGCCCGGGGCUCAACCCCGGAACUGCCUUUGAUACUGGUAGUCUCGAGUCCGGAAGAGGUGAGUGGAAUUCCGAGUGUAGAGGUGAAAUUCGUAGAUAUUCGGAGGAACACCAGUGGCGAAGGCGGCUCACUGGUCCGGUACUGACGCUGAGGUGCGAAAGCGUGGGGAGCAAACAGG